rnacentral:rRNA from 1 species
UACGGAAGGGCAGCAGUGGGGAAUAUUGCACAAUGGGCGAAAGCCUGAUGCAGCUAUGCCGCGUGUAUGAAGAAGGCCUUAGGGUUGUAAAGUACUUUCAUCGGGGAGGAAAAACAAAACUAAUAAUUUUAUUUCUUGACGUUACCCGAAAAAGAAGCACCGGCUAACUCCGUGCCAGCAGCCGCGGUAAUACGGAGGGUGCUAGCGUUAAUCAGAAUUACUGGGCGUAAAGAGCACGUAGGUGGUUUUUUAAGUCAGAUGUGAAAUCCCUGGGCUUAACCUAGGAACUGCAUUUUGAAACUGAAAUACUAGAGUAUCGUAGAGGGAGGUAGAAUUCUAGGUGUAGCGGUGAAAUGCGUAGAUAUCUGGAGGAAUACCUGUGGCGAAAGCGGCCUCCUAAACGAAUACUGACACUGAGGUGCGAAAGCGUGGGGAGCAAACAGGGAUUAGAUACC